rnacentral:siRNA from 1 species
CACACUCGACGGCACAUGAGCAUC